rnacentral:rRNA from 1 species
UGCCCGUACCGUAAACCGACACAGGUGGGUGGGAUGAGUAUUCUAAGGCGCGUGGAAGAACUCUCUUUAAGGAACUCUGCAAAAUAGCACCGUAUCUUCGGUAUAAGGUGUGGUUCGCUUUGUAUUAGGCUUUACGCCGAAAGCAAAGAAACUUACAACAAAGAGUCCCUCCCGACUGUUUACCAAAAACACAGCACUCUGCUAACUCGUAAGAGGAUGUAUAGGGUGUGACGCCUGCCCGGUGCUCGAAGGUUAAUUGAUGGGGUUAGCAUUAGCGAAGCUCUUGAUCGAAGCCCGAGUAAACGGCGGCCGUAACUAUAACGGUCCUAAGGUAGCGAAAUUCCUUGUCGGUUAAAUACCGACCUGCAUGAAUGGCGUAACGAGAUGGGAGCUGUCUCAAAGAGGGAUCCAGUGAAAUUGUAGUGGAGGUGAAAAUUCCUCCUACCCGCGGCAAGACGGAGAGACCCCGUGGACCUUUACUAUAGCUUGACACUGCUACUUGGAUAAGAAUGUGCAGGAUAGGUGGGAGGCUUUGAGGCUAGGACGCCAGUUCUAGUGGAGCCAUUGUUGAGAUACCACUCUUUCUUAUUUGGGUAGCUAACUAGCUUGCGUUAUCCGCAAGUAGGACAAUGUCUGGUGGGUAGUUUGACUGGGGCGGUCGCCUCCCAAAUAAUAACGGAGGCUUACAAAGGUUGGCUCAUUGCGGUUGGAAAUCGCAAGUAGAGUAUAAAGGUAUAAGCCAGCUUAACUGCAAGACGGACAAGUCGAGCAGAGACGAAAGUCGGUCUUAGUGAUCCGGUGGUUCUGUGUGGAAGGGCCAUCGCUCAAAGGAUAAAAGGUACCCCGGGGAUAACAGGCUGAUCUCCCCCAAGAGCUCACAUCGACGGGGAGGUUUGGCACCUCGAUGUCGGCUCAUCGCAUCCUGGGGCUGGAGCAGGUCCCAAGGGUAUGGCUGUUCGCCAUUUAAAGCGGUACGCGAGCUGGGUUCAGAACGUCGUGAGACAGUUCGGUCCCUAUCUGCCGUGGGCG